ACAAAUCAUGUUGUGUGAGUGUGGCUUCGGCCGCUUCUCACAUAUAUCAACCCGAACCUGUGCCUCUUUACGGGCCAGGCUAGGUGUGGGCUGUUGCUCCCUCGGGACAAUGGCUCGCGGUGAAGACGUCACAGUCGGAUCCACAUAGACGCUUGUUUUUGUUUGACAGAUUUCAAUUGUAUCCAAAAUUAAUGA
rnacentral:misc_RNA from 1 species